CCUACGGGGGGCAGCAGUGGGGGAUAUUGCACAAUGGGGGGAACCCUGAUGCAGCAACGCCGCGUGGGUGAAGGAGUACCCCGGUACGUAAAGCCCUAUCGGCAGGGAAGAAGAUGACGGUACCUGACUAAGAAGCCCCGGCUAACUACGUGCCAGCAGCCGCGGUAAUACGUAGGGGGCAAGCGUUAUCCGGAUUUACUGGGUGUAAAGGGAGCGCAGACGGCAGUGCAAGUCUGGAGUGAAAGCCCGGGGCUCAACCCCGGGACUGCUUUGGAAACUGCAUAGCUGGAGUGCUGGAGAGGCAA
rnacentral:rRNA from 1 species